rnacentral:rRNA from 1 species
AAAUGAAUAGACGGGGGCCCGCACAAGCGGAGGAACAUGUGGUUUAAUUCGAUGAUACGCGAGGAACCUUACCUGGGCUUAAAUGCAGAGUGCAUUCUCGGGAAACCGGGAUUUUCUUCGGAACUUUCUGCAAGGUGCUGCAUGGUUGUCGUCAGCUCGUGCCGUGAGGUGUCGGGUUAAGUCCCAUAACGAGCGCAACCCUUAUCGUUAGUUGCCAGCGGGUCAAGCCGGGAACUCUAGCGAAACUGCCGGUGUAAACCGAGAGGAAGGUGGGGAUGACGUCAAAUCAGCACGGCCCUUAUGUCCAGGGCUACACACGUGUUACAAUGGCCGGUACAGAGGGCAGCUAUGCUGUGAGGCAGUGCGAAUCUCGAAAGCCGGUCUCAGUUCGGAUCGGAGUCUGCAACUCGACUCCGUGAAGCUGGAUUCGCUAGUAAUCGCGCAUCAGCCAUGGCGCGGUGAAUACGUUCCCGGGCCUUGUACACACCGCCCGU